AAGUCGUAACAAGGUAACCGUAGGUGAACCUGCGGUUGGAUCAUUAACAAUGGUUUUCAAACCUUAUACUGUGCACUCUAUCGUACUUGGUGGUCUCUUGUAGUAUCUCGCAAGGGGUACUUAUCAAGGCCACCGCUUUUUAUAACACCUAUCUAAUGAGUCUUGAAUACCAAGUAAAACAUUAAAACUUUUGACAACGGAUCUCUUGGCUCUC
rnacentral:misc_RNA from 1 species